rnacentral:pre_miRNA from 1 species
UUAAGAACAUUCGGACCGUCAGUCUACCGAGCAAUAUCAGCCGCUCGGUAGAAGACCUUCCCUUUGUCGUUAUU